rnacentral:tRNA from 1 species
CAAAUUAGAGCUUGUUAAAGUUUUUUAUUUACAUUAAAAAGAUAGUUGUUAAAUUCAAUUUAAUUUGA